UUGUGACCCUAGCUGGCAAAGGACCACAAGGAGGUAAACCAGCCUAGGUUGCCCAUAGCUAACCACUCAAACCAAGAAGACUAGAAUUUGAACUCGUGACAUUGUGGUUACAGGUUUGUAUCCUUAGCCAGCUUGGCUAGAGUUACCCCUCUGUGAUUAUUCUUAG